rfam:Cavia porcellus supercont2_12 genomic scaffold, whole genome shotgun sequence.
CAAAAGGUUAUUUUUAAAACCACCACAUAGUAGCAAUAUAAAUAUUU